CCAGAUCCAUCGAACCGCCACCUCCUCCUCGAUCCAAAUCCUCCCCUGUCCAGACACCGCUGCCACUGUCUUUCUCCCACCUCGGGUUCCCCUUCGCACCAAUUAGCCACCACCAAAAAAACUUCCAAUUCCAUCGAUCCAUCCACCCAACUGCCGCCGCCCGAGAGCCUCGCUCGACCCCGUGCGCCACCACCGGCCGGCGACCUCGCCAGAGCUCUACCGGAACCGCCAGGCCAGCUCCUCGUGACCCUCUCCUUUCGUUCCCUUGUCCUUGAAGCUCUCUCUCCCUAACCUCUUCAUCUCUCUGUACCUCAACAGGAGCUCUAGAGCCAUGGUUUGAUUUCGGCCUCGAGGUUCCGACACCGCCAUCUCCUGCAUCCGCUGCCGCGCCAAGUCUCGCUUCCUCACCCGUGCGUCAAGUUCUUGCUGCGGCCGCCUCGAUCUGCCAUGCCGAUGCCCUCCAUGGAGUUCCCUGCAGCUUCCCGUCAGCGCCAUCUCGAACCGAGCCUCGCCCCUACACCGUCUUCCCCGCGCACCAAAGACCGGCGACCUCCAACCUCGCUGGAGUACCCAACCAGGGCAGCCCUUCCGCAAUUCGUCGCGCCGCCCUGCCAGGACAUGCCCCGCCGUCUCCUUCCUCGCCAGCUGCCACCGACCUCCAUUCUGUCCUUAGCGCCGCCCGACCAAGUCCGGCGACCAAGCGCAUGAUCUGGUCGAGCUCGCCGCCCCUUGCCUACUUGCACGUCGUUCCCGUGCCUGGCCACCAUGUCGCUGACCUUUGCUUCCCCUGCUACGAGCGAUAGGAUGAGGCACUGCCGGCGUUGACUCUAUGACGAGCACGACCCCCUCCUCUGCUUCACGCAUAGCGCAGCACCCUAACCCAGCUCUAGCGAUCGCAUGGGCCACAAGCAGAUCCGGCCCAACGCCUCCCUUCGUGGCCUGCCUCUUCCUCCGACUGGGCUUGGCCCAUGGGUGAGCUGCCCCAGUGCCCCUCUUGUUUUUUUUCUUUUCCUCCUGUUGGGCUAGCUAGUUUUGGCCCAUAUAGUGUUUUUUUCCUCGGGACGAAUUUAGCUAAUUUCCAGGGAUUUGCAGAUUUGCAGAAAAGACCCUAUUCUUCUUGCAUUUAACAACUCACCAACCAUGCAUCACAUGUAAAAACUUAAUAUAUGAAAAGUGCUUUGAAUUUUGUGUACUUUCAUAGUAUGCCACUUUCAUCCAUGUUUGAAAUGUUUAAAAUGCUAUUUGCAUUAAUUUUGCUUAUAUUCCAUGUUAA
rnacentral:lncRNA from 1 species